GAUAAACGCUGGCGGCGUGCUUCAGGCAUGCAAGUCGAACGGACCUUCGGGUCAGUGGCGGACGGGUGAGUAACACGUAAGUAACCUGCCCAGAAGUGGGGAAGUAACUAGCCGAAAGGCUGGCUAAUACCGCAUGUGAUGGCUUGUCCUUGGAUGGGUCAUGAAAGGAUUUAUUCGCUUCUGGAGGGGCUUGCGGUCGAUUAGCUUGUUGGUGGGGUAAUGGCCUACCAAGGCGACGAUCGAUAGCUGGUCUGAGAGGACGGUCAGCCACAC
rnacentral:rRNA from 1 species